GUAGUCCACGCCGUAAACGAUGAAUGCUAGGUGUUAGGGGUUUCGAUACCCUUGGUGCCGAAGUUAACACAUUAAGCAUUCCGCCUGGGGAGUACGGUCGCAAGACUGAAACUCAAAGGAAUUGACGGGGACCCGCACAAGCAGUGGAGUAUGUGGUUUAAUUCGAAGCAACGCGAAGAACCUUACCAGGUCUUGACAUCCCUCUGACCGGUACAGAGAUGUACCUUUCCUUCGGGACAGAGGAGACAGGUGGUGCAUGGUUGUCGUCAGCUCGUGUCGUGAGAUGUUGGGUUAAGUCCCGCAACGAGCGCAACCCUUGAUCUUAGUUGCCAGCACUUUAAGGUGGGCAC
rnacentral:rRNA from 1 species